UCUUAGAUAACUAGAAUAGUGCCAGACUUUUAAUCUGGAAACGGCAUUCAACCUGAAGUGCCUCUAAGAG
rnacentral:tRNA from 1 species